rnacentral:tRNA from 1 species
GGGGACAUAGCUCAACCGGGAGAGCGCCGCCUUUGCAAGGCGGAGGUUAGGGGUUCGAGCCCCCUUGUCUCCA